rnacentral:tmRNA from 1 species
GCUUGUAGAAGUUCGAGGGUCUAUUCGUUCGGACGCGGGUUCAAUUCCCGCCAUCUCCACCU